GGAAAAUGGAACCCUAAAAUGACAAGAUGGAAAAAAGGCGGCGGGAGAGAGGAAAGAGGAAGGGUCGUGAGACCUGAACCAGAUCUCACAUUUUUGCAAAAGCAGGGGAGGCAACAAAAGUCCGAAGAUCGGAGAUUGAUUCCGCACACUGAACGCGGUCGCGACGAGAAGUGAGGCUAGCUUAGAGAAUAGAGACGAUCAUACCCGGAUUCAUCUGUAUUGCUCUACGCCAAAGAGGUGAGAAGAUAGGAUUCAAUAUCUCAAAAAUAGUGUAGUAGAAUUGAUUUAGCGCACAGAGUCGUUACAAAUGCUCAAGCCUUAGGCAGGAGUUGCACCUUAGCAGUGGUAGUAGAGACCAAUUCGUGCAUGGUCAAGCUUUUGGCAAGGCUUGUACUCUAGCGGUAGCAGCAUAUACUGGUGUUUUGACAUUCCUUUAAAUUCAAAGAGAGUACCAUUUUUACUUAGAAGUGGGAAACUGAAUAAAGCAGGGGCAAUUUUAAAAAAUAGAAAGAGUGGCCGAAAUCAUCAAAGAAAUCUCUAUCUCCACAAGGGAAACCCUAAUCCACCCUCGGCUUUUAAAUAGGAAGCAAAACAGAAAAGAACAUUAGACUGAAAA